rnacentral:rRNA from 1 species
UUCCAGACUCCUACGGGAGGCAGCAGUGAGGAAUAUUGGUCAAUGGGCGCGAGCCUGAACCAGCCAAGUCGCGUGAGGGAUGACGGCCCUACGGGUUGUAAACCUCUUUUGUCGGGGAGCAAAUUCCGUUACGUGUAACGGAGUCGAGAGUACCCGAAGAAAAAGCAUCGGCUAACUCCGUGCCAGCAGCCGCGGUAAUACGGAGGAUGCGAGCGUUAUCCGGAUUUAUUGGGUUUAAAGGGUGCGUAGGCGGAAUAUCAAGUCAGCGGUAAAAAUUCGGGGCUCAACCCCGUCGUGCCGUUGAAACUGAUGUUCUUGAGUGGGCGAGAAGUAUGCGGAAUGCGUGGUGUAGCGGUGAAAUGCAUAGAUAUCACGCAGAACUCCGAUUGCGAAGGCAGCAUACCGGCGCCCAGCUGACGCUGAAGCACGAAAGCGUGGGUAUCGAACAGGAUUAGAUACCCUCGUA